rnacentral:rRNA from 1 species
GACGAACGCUGGCGGCGUGCUUAACACAUGCAAGUCGAACGGACGAUCACCCUUCGGGGUGUGAGUUAGUGGCGGACGGGUGAGUAACGCGUGAGUAAUCUGCCUUGGAGUGGGGAAUAACACAGGGAAACUUGUGCUAAUACCGCAUAACGUCAUCGGGUGACAUCAUCUGGUGACCAAAGAUUUAUUGCUCCAAGAUGAGCUCGCGUCCGAUUAGAUAGUUGGUGAGGUAAUGGCCCACCAAGUCGACGAUCGGUAGCCGGACUGAGAGGUUGGCCGGCCACAUUGGGACUGAGACACGGCCCAGACUCCUACGGGAGGCAGCAGUGGGGAAUAUUAGGCAAUGGGGGAAACCCUGACCUAGCGACGCCGCGUGAAGGAUGAAGCUUUUCGGAUUGUAAACUUCUUUGGCAGGGGACGAUAAUGACGGUACCCUGAGAACAAGCCACGGCUAACUACGUGCCAGCAGCCGCGGUAAUACGUAGGUGGCGAGCGUUGUCCGGAUUUACUGGGUGUAAAGGGCGAGUAGGCGGGUAAACAAGUCAGAUGUGAAAUACCGAGGCUCAACUUCGGGGCUGCAUUUGAAACUGUUUAUCUUGAGUGAUGGAGAGGCAGGCGGAAUUCCCAGUGUAGCGGUAAAAUGCAUAGAGAUUGGGAGGAACACCAGUGGCGAAGGCGGCCUGCUGGACAUCAACUGACGCUGAGGAGCGAAAGUGUGGGGAGCAAACA